CGGAAUCAGCCAGGACCAUCUGGCAAGGCUAAAUACUACUCUGUGACCGAUAGUGAACCAGUACCGUGAGGGAAAGGUGAAAAGAACCCCGGGAGGGGAGUGAAAGAGAACCUGAAACCAUAUGCUUACAAGAAGUUAGAGCCCGUUAAAGGGUGAUAGCGUGCCUUUUGUAGAAUGAACCGGCGAGUUACGAUAUGGAGCGAGGUUAAGCAGGAUAUGCGGAGCCGAAGCGAAAGCGAGUCUUAAGAGGGCGAAAGUUGCAUGUCGUAGACCCGAAACCGAGUGAUCUAGCCAUGACCAGGUUGAAGUUGGGGUAGAACCCGAUGGAGGACCGAACCGACCCCCGUUGAAACGUUGGCGGAUGAGUUGUGGCUAGGGGUGAAAUUCCAAUCGAACUCGGAGAUAGCUGGUUCUCCCCGAAAUAGCUUUAGGGCUAGCGUCGAGAGAGAGGUCAAGUGAAGGUAGAGCACUGAAUAUGUGAUGGCCCCAUCCCGGGGUACUGAAUAUAAUCAAACUCCGAAUGUCACAGAGACAGGCUCGGCAGUCAGACAGCGGGUGAUAAGGUCCACUGUCAAAAGGGAAACAGCCCAGACCAUCAGCUAAGGUCCCAAAAUAUAUACUAAGUGGAAAAGGAUGUGGAGAUGUCCAGACAACUAGGAGGUUGGCUCAGAAGCAGCCAUCCUUUAAAGAGUGCGUAACAGCUCACUAGUCGAAUGACUCUGCGCCGAUAAUUUACCGGGGCUAAGUAUAUUACCGAAGCUAUGGAUUUACAGAGAUGUAAGUGGUAGGGGAGCGUUCUAUAGGCGGAGAAGCUGUACCGGAAGGAGCAGUGGAGCGUAUAGAAGAGAGAAUGCCGGUGUGAGUAGCGGAACGCGGGUGAGAAUCCCGCGCACCGAAAACCCAAGGUUUCCAGAGGAAGGUUCGUCCGCUCUGGGUAAGUCGGGACCUAAGGCGAGGCCGAGAGGCGUAGUCGAUGGACAACAGGUAGAGAUUCCUGUACUUACGGUAUGAAUGAAGGAGUGACGGAGCAGGCUAGCGCAUCCUGGAGCUGGAAAAGCAGGUGCAAGCGAGGUAGCUGACAACCAGGCAAAUCCGGUUGUCGAAAGGCGAAGGCGUGAAGCGGAUGGAAAGCUAAGGCGAGUACAGAAGAGCGUGAAGCAAGCUUCCAAGAAAAGCUUCUAGUGCUAAUCAUACAGUAACCCGUACCGAAAAUGGACACACAUGGGUGAGGAGAGAAUCCUAAGGUGAGCGAGAGAACUAUAGCUAAGGAACUCUGCAAAAUGACUCCGUAACUUAGGGAGAAGGAGUGCUCAUAGAGAUAUGAGCCGCAGUGAAACGGCCCAAGCGACUGUUUACCAAAAACACAGCUCUAUGCUAAGUCGAAAGACGACGUAUAUGGGGUGACGCCUGCCCGGUGCUGGAAGGUUAAGAGGAUGUGUCAGCGCAAGCGAAGCACUGAAUUGAAGCCCCAGUAAACGGCGGCCGUAACUAUAACGGUCCUAAGGUAGCGAAAUUCCUUGUCAGGU
rnacentral:rRNA from 1 species